UCUAAUGUCUAAAGACUAAAAUAAAUUUUAAUCACCUAUUUAUCUAUUAAGAUAGAUAUGUAAUUAUUUAUAGGAUCCCCAAAUAUUUUGGGGAUUUACGCUCCGGUACCGGAUUCAAACUACGGCCGCACUUUGAAGCUAUUCCCUUUCCGUACGUUUUCUUGAUAUUUGGCUGUUUUGGAGGAUUAAAGGAAGUGGUGUUUGUUUAGAGACCUUUUUAUCAAUCGGGAUGUGUUAAUUUUGUUACCCACCUAUUUAAUGGUAUUCUUCUAUUUCCUUUUUGUUACAUUUUCUAAAAUUAAAGUCUGUCAUUUUUGUAA